UACAGAGGGGGCAAGCGUUGUUUCGGAAUUACUGGGCGUAAAGGGUGCGUAGGCGGGUCUUUUAAGUCAGGGGUGAAAUCCUGGAGCUCAACUCCAGAACUGCCUUUGAUACUGAAGAUCUUGAGUUCGGGGAGAGGUGAGUGGAACUGCGAGUGUAGAGGUGAAAUUCGUAGAUAUUCGCAAGAACACCAGUGGCGAAGGCGGCUCACUGGCCCGAUACUGACGCUGAGGCACGAAAGCGUGGGUAGCAAACAGG
rnacentral:rRNA from 1 species